AACAGGAAUUAGUCUGGGAGAUGGAUGAUACAGAAAAUGAAACAACAUAAGCCAGCCACAGGUUGGAAGUUUUGCAUUUCCUAUUUGAGGAGAAUGACAAGUGCAAGAUCAUUGAGUAAUCUUUGAACAGCAGCAUUCUCUAGUCCUGAAAAUCAUAACUGGGACCUGGCUGAAAUGAAAAAAAGAGGAUAAAGCAAGACUUUAAGUUCUGAAACUGAUAAAGGUCCCUUAGGAAACUCGCCAUAAAUAUUAUCAUAUAAUUAAAAGGGUUUAAAGUAGUCCAUAAAGUAAAGGAAUUGAUGUGUCUCAUAUGCAGUAUUUUUGCCCAGACUUCACCAGAGAAACCAUAAACAAAACACUAUAAAGGCCUCAGCUGAAAUGAAUUCUUGCCAGCUGGGAUUCUUGUGAAGACACACGUGUCACCAAGGACUCCAACACCAAACUGUAGCCAAGAGACAGCUGAAAGUUAGGAGUGAGUAACAGCCAGGGACUGACUGUCAGUCUCAGCAUCAUCUUUUUCGGGAUAAGAUGCUGGCUUAGCAGAUCCAGGUCCAUGCAGCACUCCCAGGACAGCUCUUCCAUAAGGCUUAUAAAAGAUCUGGACUCCUGGAUGAUGCAAAUCAAUUAUCCCUGUGUGUGUGAAAUGCUGUAACAAGAUCAAUGAGACCUGAACACAAGGAGGCAUCUUAGGAUAACAGCUGCAGAUGCACACAUUGUGUGGCAAGCCCAGCCAAAGGAGCUCACACUGCUCACCCUGAUGGUUCUGCCUCCCCCACAGAAAACCCCUGCCAUUACCCUGCCCAACUGUAAAUGCGUGAAAGGAAAACCAAAUAAGAGCAGGUAGCAGUCAGGAGAUCAGCACAGGCAAAGUACAAUAAAUGGUCACUCUUGGAGGUAAAAGGAAUGCUUUGCAUUCAGCUUGGGAAUUUAUUUUAGAUGGGACUUAAUGGUCAGACUCUGCUUACAACCAAAAGCUGCACAGUUAAUGGCUCUGUGGAAAACUGCAAGGACGGAUCUUUACUCCCUAAAAUACAUAUUGGUUUUAAAGAUGAGCUCAAGAUGAUUACUUUCACAAUAUUAAUAAUUCUGCCAAUUGGAUUUCCACAAAGUAGAUUCAAUAAAAUACUGGAAAUAUUUAGUCAAUAAAUCAAUUACACUUCCACUCAGUCUGGAUAGCUAUAAAUUGUUUUCUCAUUGAUAAAAUUCUGUUUAUGAAAAUCUAUUUUCAAGGAAACAACUCCUAAGGUUUUUAUUGGAAAAUGCUUUGCAGUUAAAACAGAAAUGAGAAUUAAUGGAAGGGCCACAUGAGCCUUAUAUGUAUAAAUAAAAAAAAUUCCAGAAACUUUUUUUUUGCUACUUGAAGUAGAAUGCAAUGUCCAUGUUUAAAAAUACCAAAAGAAUGUAAAGAAAUUUAAAUACCUUCUUAUCCCACUAGAUGGUGGUGCCUUCAGAUUAGGGCUGAGAUGCUCAGACAGACAGUGCAGGAAAACUUUUCUUUAACUGACCUGCGAAUGUGGAGAGAUGAGGUUAAUCUCGUUCCUCUGGGAACAGUAACAAGCAUCUGGGUCUGAUGACUUACUGAAUAUAUUGAAGUACAUGAAUUGUGUCCACAGAGCUUUGCCAUGAAGUGUGUUUUAACUUCAAUGCACAUCAAAUAGUAUUAAGUUUUCUUCCUGCAGAAGAAAAGGUGCAAACAAUAUUGAAUCUUAAGAAUGAUUGUGUCUUGUGUAAAAUAGCUUUGUUCCACCGAGGUCCUGGUCCUUUUGCUGCCCUCUCUCCUCAAUCAAAAUGCAAAUUAACGUGGGGGAUCAUUAGCAAUGACUGCAUCUUGUAUUCAUGGAUUUCAUUGGAACAAGCUUAAAAGUACCACUCACUUUUUUUGUAUGACAAAUGUGCUGCUGGCUUUCAGAAAAGGUAUUUACACAUCUGUUAGACAGAAAGUGAUAGUGCCAAGCGUGGCAGGUCACAUCUGUCCAGUGAUAACACAAGUGACAUUUUGAUAAAUAGGAAAAGUGGAUGGCACCUUGUUUGAGAGUGUGUUUGUGCUUUAGUUAUCUCAGGCUCUGUAGUGAAUGGUCACAUCCUUCAUGCCUCACACAGAGCUGGGAGCUGGAGCAGCUUCUGUGAACUGCAGAACUCCUCUCAAGGGCUGUGUCUGUCAGGGCUGGCCCAAGAGGAGGCCCCAGGCUCAGUGCAUGGAGGGAGCCCUGAGGCGCUGUCUCACCUGGCCUGAGCUCACAGGGUAUGAAAAGUGCAACCCUGCCAGUGAGCAGCCACCAGUCCUGCCCACACAGGCUCUCCCAAACCAGCCACAGCUCCCUGGGCCCAGGGCAGGCCAUGGGGACAAACUGAGUGCACACGGGUGGUCCAGAGACCAGCCACCCAAAUCUGUGCAAAGUAGUCAGUGAUCACUCAGAAGCAAUGUGUGAGACUUGCACUGGCAAGAAUAAAGUUUGUUUAUUCUUCUGAACUGUUUUCAUUUUGCUUAAAUAUCACGAUGCCCAUUGUCAGCAUGAAAAUUUUAAGAUUAAAAUGAGAAACUGCUUUGUGGAUGAAGAACUCCAGUCAGGUAAGCUCUAACGUUAUGUUUUCCAAUAUUCUUUUUAAAGAUGGUGUAAGGUGCAGAAAAGUUAAGGAUGACUGUGUGUGACUUGGAAAGACAGCAUUAAACAAGAACCUCAGACUUCUUUUGUCAUCUGUAACUGUUGUUGUGGGUUUUACUCCUAUUACCCAAGUGGUCACCCCAUUUGUAACACUGGAGUCAUUUAGGAACCAGCCCUCCUUCUGGCACAGUUUGCUUCAGGCUUAUUUGCUGUAUAUCCCAUUUAUUCUGUUCCUCCUAUUCUACUCCUUCACUUUUUGAUUCUUGUGUUUGCAACAUCCUCAAUUUCCUAUUUCUGUUGCAGGUAACACAAUGAACAGCAGCACAAAGCUAAGCUAUGUCACAUUAGUGUGACUUCCAGGAAAGAUUACAGACCCAUAGUCCAGACACUGCCAUGUAAGAACAUCACAGCCAAAAAAAGGCUUAAUUUGAGACUUUUUAAUGAGCACUUAGCAGGGAAUUCCUUUGCAUAUAUGGAGGACUGAGGCAGAAACAUGGAUACAAAAAUGGAUGUGGAUGCCUGGUUCUUCUGUAGAGCUUUAAUUGUUUUGCAUGUUAGAAUCUUCCCAGCUGUAUUAGGGAGAAAGGAUCUGCUCUUACUUUCUCUAGAAAGGCAGGCAGGAUUUUGUGAAACCCUAAAGAAGCAAAAUUCACUGCAGUCACUGUUACUUGCUGCCAUUAAGGGUUGAAAUGCAGCAUUUGCCAAGAGUGCAAGUUCCUUCAUUUGAUCCCUUUGACUGUACCAGUAUAACUGCCAAUCACAGGAAAUACCUCUAAUAACUCUUCCUUUUACUUAAUAAGGAAUACCACAUCUUUAAAACAUUAGAAACAGAUGUCACUGCAUUACUUCACUGCUGAUGUAUGUAAUAGAAAUGACACACUAAUUAAUUUAAUGCAGUAUAAAUGUACUGAUUAUUUAUCAUGGCUGACAAUAAAAUUAUGAAAACAUUCAAUUACAAUCAGUGGUAAUUCAUUAUU